GUCUACGGCCAUGCCACCCUGAACGCGUCCGAUCUCGUCUGAUCUCGGAAGCUAAGCAGGGUUGGGCCUGGUUAGUACUUGGAUGGGAGAAUAGAAAAUACCAAAUUCUGAAGUAU
rnacentral:rRNA from 1 species